ACCAAUCCACAUCAGCCCCUGCUCAGUCAGGGCCCCCUCCUACCUCCAGGCAGGCUCUGCAUCAGGCUGCUGCAGCUGCCAGCCCAGCCCUGGAGCAGAUGCAGCCCAGCAGGAGUAAUUCCCGGAGCUGCCGCUGGAUACUGUGUGGUUCCAGCUGUAGAUUACCUUCUCCUCUGAGACUGUCUGCGAUGAAACCUCCUCCCCAUCCUUGCAGAAGACGAUGCGGGUCACCAGAACCUGGGAGAAUACGGAGCACUGGAGCCGCAUGGAGUCACCUGGCCGGGCAGACGUCGGGCUCAGCUGGAAGCCUUUUCUAUCAAUACAAACCCUUCUGGCAUGAGUGUAUGUGGGGACAGACAGACAGACGGACUCACCGGGAGCUGAGCAGAUCUCCUGGAUGCUGGUACUCAGCGCUGUGAAUAGAAAGGUUCGAUGUGGUUAGUGCUGGAGUUAAAAUCUCUCCCUUGUCUGAGGUCCCUCUUCAGGGACAAAAACUGCCUUUAAUAAACAGGGAAAUAAAUUCCUAAUUUGUGUUUUGGUGAAGAAGCAAAUGGGGCAAGACAUUAGAUCUGGAACAUGGCAGAUUCCUCAUGCACGCAAAACUUGGCUGAGCUGGGAACCCCCUUUCCCUUCAGCUCUCUAGCCUAGUGGCUUCUACUCCUAGGUAAGGAGGGGACAAUUUGCAGUUGCUCCCAGAUCCUACCUGCUCCCUUAGCCCUGUCUGAAUUCAGCAGAAGAGAAACUCUGGUCUCUCUCUCUGCUCCAAUCUGCCCCCAUCUGCUCCUCUUGGUAGGAAACUCCAGCCAGUCCCUCUUUCAGUCCAUGGGGUCUGUAGAUGUUGGAUGAGCCUUACCCUUUUUCCUCCAUCCUGGUCUCCAGUCCCUGGUGAGAAUGACCCAGCUGCCCCAGGGGGAAAUUCACCCUUUGGGGUUAAGGGGACAUAAACAGAAUCUGGGCCUCGAGUUGGACCCUCUGCACAAAGGUGAAUUUCAGAGAACAGCAACCACGGUACUGCACUGGCCUCUCCACCUGCUUAGUCUCCCCCUGUCCUGUCCUCCAUCCCCAGUCAUUUCUGCCCUGACUGCCCCUGCUUCCUAUUCUGGGCUCCUGCAGAGUCUGCUGUCCCUGCUGAGAGAAGAACACCAGGUGCCUUCCCUCUAUCCUGGUCCCUUCUGCAUCCCUGCUCAUUCUGCUGUUCCUACUGGGAGGCGGGUACCAGGGCACGGCCAGAUGGGGAAGAACACAAGGCAGUUGAGAAAGAGC